rnacentral:rRNA from 1 species
AUUGAACGCUGGCGGCAGGCCUAACACAUGCAAGUCGAGCGGAUGAAGGGAGCUUGCUCCUGGAUUCAGCGGCGGACGGGUGAGUAAUGCCUAGGAAUCUGCCUGGUAGUGGGGGAUAACGUCCGGAAACGGGCGCUAAUACCGCAUACGUCCUGAGGGAGAAAGUGGGGGAUCUUCGGACCUCACGCUAUCAGAUGAGCCUAGGUCGGAUUAGCUAGUUGGUGGGGUAAAGGCCUACCAAGGCGACGAUCCGUAACUGGUCUGAGAGGAUGAUCAGUCACACUGGAACUGAGACACGGUCCAGACUCCUACGGGAGGCAGCAGUGGGGAAUAAUGGACAAUGGGCGAAAGCCUGAUCCAGCCAUGCCGCGUGUGUGAAGAAGGUCUUCGGAUUGUAAAGCACUUUAAGUCGGGAGGAAGGGCAGUAAGUUAAUACCUUGCUGUUUUGACGUUACCAACAGAAUAAGCACCGGCUAACUUCGUG